AAUAAUAGGUUGAAUCCAGCGAAACACAAAUGUGCUGGCGGAAUGCAAGUGCUCUAAAUUAUAAGACACAUGAAUUAUAUGCAGAUUUAGCGAGUGAAUUGUAAGGUGUAUCAGGGAACUAUAUGUAAAAUAUUCCAAUAGGUAUUGUAGUCAAAACUAAACACAUUUAUUUGCAAAAUCUGGAUCAAUGUCACAGUACUGGUAUACCGGAAGAGAUAAGGGAAGCGAGAUUGUCGCAUUAGAUCUAUCCCAUCUGCGAGGUGAGCUAGCAGUAUUUGAUUCGUGGUUAAACCCAUAUAUCUCUAUAUUUCCGUAAUGGGUAAGGAUUAGAGAAUACUAUUUAAAGAGGGGAGUCCCUCUUCUCAUCAUAACUUGCUUAUUGCAUCCCGUAUACGGCAGAAGUUGAAAGAGAGGAGAAGACUCCAUUCUCAGACGCGAUUGUUGGUUCUUAUACUUCUGCUAAUACUCAUCAAGCUCUCUGGUCAAGUAAUUGGUUAUUACACGCGGAAGCAGUCAAAUAUCAGGAUUGCAUACAUCGUUGUAUGAAGCAUGGACACUAUGGAUAACAUAUUUAAGGGUGCAAUAAAAAUUGUGUUAUACUUCUACACCACUCUAAUAGCCGCCAUAAAGUAUAAAGACGACCUAAAGAUUCUAAGUAAUGCUGAAGUUGAGAUAAUGCACUGACCCUGCAUCAUAUUGAAUGUUUGUAUCUUCAUUGUCCAAUUUAGUGGUGCUAAAUUCUUUAGCUAAAGGUUAAAGAACUAUAUCUCUCUUAAAAUACCAAUGUGACUGUUUUCUUUCAAAUGAAAGGGUGGCCACCUGGUUUUCUAAAAGUUUGAUCCAGUACUAAAUUUUUAUAAAAACAGAAAUUGUGGUGUUUAGAAUUGACCAAGUGGGAGAAUGUAAGAUAUUCCAAUAGGUAUUGUGGUCAAAACUAAACACAUCUAUUUGCAAAACCUGGAUCAAUGUCACAGUACUGGUAUACCGGAAGUGAUAAGGGAAGCGAGAUUGUCGCAUUAGAUCUAUCCCAAUCUGCGAGGUGAGCUAGCAGUAUUUGAUUCGUGGUUAAACCCCUAUAUCUCUAUAUUUCCGUAAUGGGUAAGGAUUAGAGAAAACUAUUUAAAGAGGGGAGUCCCUCUUCUCAUCAUAACUUGCUUAUUGUAUCACAUAUACGGCAUAAGUUGAAAGAGAGUAGAAGACUCCAUUCUCAGACGCGAUUGUUGGUUCUUAUACUUCUGCUAAUACUCAUCAAGCUCUCUGGUCAAAUAAGCUUCUAACUUAUACGUUUCUUAUACUUCUACAGUUUGGUGUAGAAGAACAUGUACGAACACCAUAGUAUAGAUAUACACUCCCACCAAUUCUUCAUCACAAUCGAAGCCAAAUCAACCUGCAGCUUAAGCUAAAAGCCACUACACAAAGUCAAGCCCCUGGUUUACACAAAUACUUAACAAAAUCCAUGUCUUCAUUAGAUCAAUUUCCUUUCUGUUUCUGCGCCAAAGCUCCUCUGUAUGGAGUUGUGUCGAGCAGAUGGUGUGCAAUUAAGAACUUCCUUUUGUGUAUGAUUAUCUCCUUUUAUAGAUCAAUUUCUUCAGCAGAAUUACCUGUAAAUCCGAAUCAAACUCUGACCCAUCAAUCGUUGUCUAACACGAACUCUAAAAAACCACUUAAUCUCAUCCAUUCAUCACUCCAAAUACCCAUGGCAGCAUCACUAUCUUAACUGGUUUCUCGGCAGAAACUUGAUUCAAAUCCCUCACAAACUCGACAAGUUUGCUGCCGAAUUCCAAAACCGACUAAAUCAAAGGAGAAGAACUUGAGAAGAAAGAUGUUCGGUGGUGAUGACGCACGAGAUGAAUAACCAACUGUAGAUUUGCUGAUUUGAUCGAAGAAGAAGAGUAUAGGAAGAACGGUGUAGCUCUUCUUGUUUGUUUAUUAUCGAUUCAAUUGGAAUAGAAAAGAGAUGAUAAACGAUUAGAGAUUAUGAGGACAAAUAAGUAAUUGCCGCAUCAAAAGUUGACCAAGUCAAUCAUGAAUGACUAGUAACGUGGGCCUUGACGGAAUUAGUAACGUGAGUGGUAUUCUAUAUAUAUCGAAAAACAUUGUGGCACUUUCUUGAACGGGAAAAUCAAAGUGUGACACUUUAUUAAAGUUCCCAAUAUUAUAUGGAAUUUGGAAGCAAAGUUCAUACCAACCAAUUCUAGCUUUGUACAUACUUCGGAGACAUACAGACAUGAAGCACACUGUAACUGCAACUGCGCCCGACAAAUGAAAUUUGGGUGAUUAGCCACUCUCUGUUCUGAUUUUUGCUAAAGUAUAACUAGCAUCUCUGUAUAAGUUACUGGACAAUCAUUUGAUUCAAUGAGUGUCCAGUACUAAUGUUGCUGAGGUGAAGUAAGUUGUAGCAUGUAUUGCACUAAGUUGGUUUCCUUCAGAUUUAUUUAAUAAAUUACUUUACUCUUACGGAGAACCGUCCUGUCACGCAAGGUGAGGUCAUUAUGAAAAUGACGCCCAAGUAUGAAUGCAUUGAGAAAGUAAU